GUCAACUAAAAACAAUUAGAUAACGUGUCGCGAAGGAGGCUGAGCUAAUUACUAAAUUCUUAUAGGAUUAUAUUUGUGUGUUGCAACACACAAAUAAUAUUAUUAAUUAGGGGUGAUAGGCCUAACAAGGCCUCCGAUAUCUUGUUUCUUAGGAAAUAUAUCAAGUAUUAAGUCAACUUAGGAGUGCUAAGGCUCCUUAGCUUUACCAAAUUAGUUCUGGCGUGGGCAAACUAUUUAACAAUAAUUGCUUAAUUUAUCUCAGCACCAAUUACUUUAAAUUGUUUUAUGUACUAGGGCAUACAUUUAUAAUUAAUUAAUUGUAGUGCUACUGUUGACAUAAGUAUUAUAUUAAAACUCUAACAGGAACUCGGCAAACUAACUUUUCAGCUGUUUAUCAAAAACAUAGCCGGAUGGAUUUAAUAUCGGGUUAUUCCUGCUCAAUGGUUAACUAAAUAGCCGCAGUACUCUGACUGUGCAAAGGUAGCAUAAUCAUUUGGCUUAUAAUUGAAGUCUGGCAUGAAAGGAUACAUGGGGAGUAGCUGUCUCUUAGGGUUUACCUGAAAUUAAUUAGCAAGUGAAAAUGCUUGUAGACAUUUAAUAGACGAGAAGACCCUAGAAAUUUUCUAUAAAAUAGUGUUAAUUACUAGUAUUAUUUUGUUGGGGCGACAAAAUAACAAUAAACUUAUUUUAUUAAAUUAGAACUACAUGUUGAGUUAAAAUAAAUUACUCUAGGGAUAACAGCAUAAUCUAUUAGAGUUUGUGACCUCGAUGUUGGACUAGGGAUUUACGUGUUUAGAAGACACUAGAACGAGCUCUGUUCGAGCAUUAUCCCCUACAUGAUCUGAGUUCAGACCGG
rnacentral:rRNA from 1 species